rnacentral:rRNA from 1 species
ACCCGCACAAGCGGUGGAUGAUGUGGUUUAAUUCGAUGCACGACGAAAAACCUUACCCACCUUUGACAUGUACGGAAUCCUUUAGAGAUAGAGGAGUGCUCGAAAGAGAGCCGUAACACAGGUGCUGCAUGGCUGUCGUCAGCUCGUGUCGUGAGAUGUUGGGUUAAGUCCCGCAACGAGCGCAACCCUUGUCAUUAGUUGCUACAUUCAGUUGGGCACUCUAAUGAGACUGCCGGUGACAACCGGAGGAAGGUGGGAUGACGUCAAGUCCUCAUGGCCCUUAUAGGUGGGGCUACACACGUCAUACAAUGGAUGGUACAAAGGGUCGCCAACCCGCGAGGGGGAGCCAAUCCCAUAAAGCCAUUCGUAGUCCGGAUCGCAGGCUGGCAACUCGCCUGCAUGAAGUUGGAAUCGCUAGUAAUCGUGAAUCAGCUAUGUCACGGUGAAUGUGUUCCUGAGCCUU